rnacentral:rRNA from 1 species
GGGUGAGAAUCCCACAGGCCGUAAACCCAAGGUUUCCAGGGGAAGGUUCGUCCGCCCUGGGUUAGUCGGGACCUAAGCUGAGGCCGAAAGGCGUAGGGGAUGGACAACAGGUUGAUAUUCCUGUACUACCGAUAACCGUUUGAGAGAAGGGAUGACACAGUAGGAUAAGCUAAGCACACUGUUGGUUAUGUGUGCCCAAGCAUUGAGGCAGUCAAAGUAGGCAAAUCCGCUUUGAUAAUGCUGGGAU